CGCCUUGCCAGCCCGCUCAGAAACUCAAAGGACUUGACGGGGGCCCGCACAAGCGGUGGAGCAUGUGGUUUAAUUCGAUGAUACGCGAGGAACCUUACCUGGGCUCAAAUGUAUGUUGACGUAUUCUGAAAGGGAUACUUCUUCGGACAAUAUACAAGGUGCUGCAUGGUUGUCGUCAGCUCGUGCCGUGAGGUGUCGGGUUAAGUCCCAUAACGAGCGCAACCCCUAUCAUUAGUUGCCAUCAGGUCAAGCUGGGGACUCUAAUGAAACUGCCUACGCAAGUAGUGAGGAAGGUGGGGAUGACGUCAAAUCAGCACGGCCCUUACGUCCAGGGCUACACACGUGCUACAAUGGUCGGUACAAAGGGUUGCCAAGCCGCGAGGUGGAGCUAAUCCCAUAAAACCGAUCGUAGUCCGGAUCGCAGUCUGCAACUCGACUGCGUGAAGUCGGAAUCGCUAGUAAUCGUGAAUCAGAAUGUCACGGUGAAUACGUUCCCGGGCCUU
rnacentral:rRNA from 1 species